CGAAAACUUCCCUUAUAUCUCCAGAGACUGAGGGUGACAAUGGCAACCUUUUGAAAACUGUGACAGUAGGAGGAAAAAACAUGAUCUACAUAAUUCCACGUCAGGAGAAAACUGAUAUGUCUCCUCUUCCUCUGGAUGCUCUAGAACUUCAAAGCAUCAUGGGAAGUUUGCAGUGUUACCUUGCAGUUGCAAGUCUUGGCUGUCCGUGUAAAAUCAUGUGUUGACCUCAGAUCUUCAAGAGACGACUUUGAAAUUUCAAAGGAGCAGUGCUGGUGAAGGUACCCCAGUGGCGUCAACAUCAAGUACAAAUGAUGCCUGGAACACAUCUGAAAUGGUUGCAGGUAUUGAGAGGUCUUCUUCUUGAAGGGAUUUCAUGGCUGCGCACCAAAGUAUUUCCUGUCUGAUUUGGACAGAGGUCAUUUCAGGACUAUUGGAGAAAUAAUUGCUGUCAGUUUGGCUCCAGGGGGACCAGCUCCAAACUUAAUGAUGCCUUGGUGCUACAAAGUCUUGUGCUCUGGAUCCCUUGAAUUUGAAAGCAGGGACAAAAAUGAUGUGGCAGAUAGAAAACUGUACUGACCUUUUAUCAAAGGUGAGAACACUUGGAUAACUGCUAGAAAGCAUAAAAUACCUCAAAGCCAAACAUUUUAAAAAGCAAAUGUUUUAAUACAUAAUACAACGUAAACUGCUGUUGUAGAUAGAUCAGCAGGGUAAUUAUCACACAACUAUAUCCCUAAAGGCAAGCAAAGGAAUGCAUGUUUUCUCUUAUCACCAAACAGUUGCACGUUUUCUGGAUCUGCCCUGUUGUCUCCUCUCUGGUGUGUUUUUGUUGGAAUGUUGGGACUGAAAUAAUUAUUUCAGGUUUCAGUACAAACAGUGAACCUGGUCACCAGAACUGGGGCUGCAAAUAUUCCCAUCAGACUCUAGGUGGGAGGCUAUAGAGAACUACAACCUACAACAACAUCAGUAGCUCUCUGAUGGUCUCAGACAGUGGUUCUGAUUGGAUCUACAGCUGCACCAUCAGAACUCUCAGUAACUGGAAAAAAGUUAGUUUUCAGCAGCUUGGUGAGUAUUUAGUCUGAUAAAAUGGGGUCAUUAAAGGUCACAGCAGUAUUUAAUGUUUCUGUUUCAUAUUCAUUUCUCUCCAUUUCUAGCUCUUUGUUUCCGUGAUCCACCAAUAAAGCUGAAUGAUUAAAUUGAUAAAUCAACAAAACAACAAAGUCCUCACAGAACAGUUGAACAAUGUUCAACAUGAGAUGAUGCUGAGAGUCGUUGAAAGUAGAUGAUUCCAGGAUCAAAUGUGAGUAACAGAAUAUUUGAUCCUUUAUCUUAUUCAGUUUUCUGGAUUCAUUUGUGUUACUUUAGCUUCAGUUACUGUUUCGACGGCUGGAACAACAAUCCCCUGCUCUCCGUUGGACUCUUCUGGGAUGAGCUUCGUUUGGAGAUACAACCACAGUCAGAUCAUCCUGAGCAAGACGGGGUCCAACCUCACGGUGUCCGAGAGGUGGAGGAACCAGGUGAAGGAGGUUUCAGAACCUGGACAGCUGAUUCUGCAGAGUUUAUCUCCAGAUCAGGAGGGACUUUACAGCUGUGAAGUCAGUGAUGAAGAAUAUACCACCAUAACUGAGAGCCGUGUGAAAGGAGGUGAAGGUGGAGGUGAAAGUAAAGCAACAAGUUAAAACUCCACAAAUCAUUAAAGACAUUAAGAUUUUCUGCCAAAUAAUUACAAAGCAUAAAACAUAGCUUCAUCCUUUCAAUGUCUUUGUUUUAUUUCAGAUCGUUCAUUCAGACCUGCAGUUGUGUCAGGAGUUAUUGUUCUGUUUAUAGGGAAAUGUGUUUGCAUUUUGUGCCUAGAAGACGAAGAGGUAAAAAGUACUUGAGUUCAGUUACAAAUCCUUACAUUACGUUUGUACUGAUGAUGUCAUCUGACCUUAAAUAGUUUCAGGUCAAUCAACACAAGCAGGAACGUGAACGAACAGUAAGUAUGUUUUAAAUAUACAGCAGCAGAAAGAAAAAUACUUGUGUCAUAAAUGCAUAGAAUGUGUCUUUACACGAUAAAUACAUGUGAUCAUGUUCACAUUUCUCUUCAGGUGAUACCAUCAGACUUUAUAUCAGAUUUAGUUCUCUUCUCUUCCUAGACUAUUGCAAAACCUUUAGUUUUUUCAAUGUGAAGUAAUUUUUCUGUUGGUAUAAAUGUAUGUUUGGACUCAUUGUGAUGCUCAGGGCCUUUUGUAGUUAUGCACACUUUAGUUUUCUGGUUUUAAUUUAUAUGAAACAUAAACACUGAUGGCUUCAUUAGGUCUAUAGAGCAGUAAUGUUGUUGUUUUUUUAUUCUUAUAUUUAUGAGUGUUACUCUUACUUGUACUUUACAUCACUUUGUUCCCUUUGAGGGCUUUUAAAGGGCUUAAUAUAUAAACUUGGAUUAGAUAUGUAGACACUAAAGAAAUGCUUGCAUGGAAGCAUCUCGUUUCAGGCCGUUUUUAGGAGCCAGGACAAUUAUCUCAAGACAUGUUCAGCUACACUAAUAAAUAAAAAAAUAGUGUAAUUGUGUUCAGCUCUUUCUUUGCAAAACUGACUGAAUAAUUUUUUUUGGCAUUUUUGUUUAAAUCCAAACUUUAAGACUUCUUCUUCCAUUCAUUGUUAUAUGAACAAAUCACAGCAAACAGCUGUUGUUGCAGCAAAACUGUCACUAAUAUAACUGAACUGCUCAUUAGAGAUGUAGUUAAACACACAACACACUGAUUCUCCAGCUAUUAAUACUUGUUGUGAUUAUUGAGGCUUUUAACAUCAGUAUCAUGUCAUCAAAUUCAAAGUUUCUAAAUCAUUUUUACACAAGCAGCCUGCUGGAUAGGUUUUAAUGAUAAUUCAGGAGUAGGAAACUAUGAUGGCUGUUAAACAGCUUCAGUCCAGAUUAAUUAGGUUGUAUAAAUGUCAUCUUUUAAAUAGAAGUGGUUCUCCAGCUACGUCAAACCAUGUUUUAAUUGUUGCACUAUUUAGUUUCUUUUAUUGUAUUUAUUUGAAUGCACUUAGGUUUUCUUCUGCACAUUUCUUUAGAGACAUCUGGAAUUAGCUGACUGUGUGGCUGGACAACAGUGUCCUAAGGACUGGUUCUUUACCAAAGUAGUUUUCCUAAAGUCUGAAACAAGAUGACACCUGAACAGCUGCAGGAAUCCUCACACAGCCGCCCUCAAAUGUUUCACAGCGCAGACAUUUAUUAGUUGGGUCAUAAAUGAAUGACUGAGUCAACAAGUAAUAUUAUGAAUAAUUCUUUCAAAUGUGGCCGAUAGUAACAACCUGAAGGUUGUAACUGAUGAAGCCAUUACUGAUAUGUUUCUGAAUGUUUGAAAAUUGUUUUAAUUCUUUGAAUUAUAUUUAACAUUUAGGUCUUUCUAUGAAUAUUUCUUUAUUUAGCAUUCUGUUUAACUUCAUCUUUUAAUGUUUCUGUUACUUUUAAAUAAAAGUUCUCAAACCUCAGUUGUUGCUGUGUGAUUAUUAAUUAUCAGUCUUUUUUCACUAUAAACAAACAUGGUUCUAAUCUGGCUAAAUUUUAUUUUCUAGGAGUCAAAUGAUCUUUUUUGGAGGAAAAAAUGUGGACUAAUGUGAUAAAGAGUCGCCUUAUAUCUUCUGACGACCAAUCGCUGCACUGGUAGAACGCUGAAUGUAUUUCCAGUUUUUAUUAAUUAAAAUUCACAGUAGGUAUGUAUUAUGAAUAUUAAUAUGAGGAAAACAACAGAUUUUUAACAGAAACAUGACUGUAUCGAGGUUCUGAGAGUCUAACAGGUAGAAUGUAUGUUGGUUUAGCAGCGCCCUCUGCUGGCCAGGACCUGAAACAAUAAGAAACA